GGGGGCUCCAUGAAUGGAAGCGGCGGCGGCGGCGGGAGCGACCUGAGCUGGGCUCUGGGGCCAGGGCCAGGGGCUGCCCAGGGCCCGCACCGGUGUAUGGGGGCGGCUCGUGGACCCUAAGAGCAAGGACCGACGGCUGGGCCGAUCUGGGAGGGGCGGGGCCGGGCGGCCUCGGGCCGGAGGCGCGUCGGGCUGGAGCCGGUCACGAUGCCCCGAAGGAAGCAAAGCCAUCCACAGCCCGUGAAAUGCGAGGGGGUCAAAGUGGAUACUGAAGAUUCCUUCGACGAAGGACCUGGGGCUCUGGUGUUGGAGAGUGAUUUGCUACUAGGCCAAGAUCUGGAGUUCGAAGAGGAAGAGGAAGAGGAGGAAGGUGACGGCCACAACGACCAGCUCAUGGGCUUUGAGAGAGACUCUGAAGGUGUGUUUAAGGGUCGUGGUUAAGGAUAAGAGGCUUUUGGUAACUCAAGCCCUUUAGAAGGCGGUGUUAGCGACCAAAACACCACUUCUUUUUACAACCUAGCAGCAGCAUUUUGGUGAGUUGAAGUUCUGGGUCCGGGCUAAAGGUGGUGUGAAUACAAGGGUGGGUAGCCACAUUU
rnacentral:lncRNA from 1 species